AUCACCUCCCUGCUCCUGUGGCUGCACUAUUUCUGGCAGAAAGCAGUAAGGAGUCAGAAGCCAUUCUUCCUGAUUCUACAUACCAGCAGGGUUCAACUCACUCCAAAUCAAAGUGGAGUUGCUGAGGAGGGACUAAUUAUGAGGUAAGACAUUUUCCAAGAGUAAGAAGGUUACACACUGACUGCAUCAGACUGAAAAAUACCAGUGUAUUUGAAAAAUAUCAAUGCAUUGCACAAGACUGCUCCAGUCAAAGCACCAGGACUGUGUUGGACAGGAAGGAAAAAUGAAUUCCAGGAUGAGGAAUCUCCACUGACCUUGUCCCAUCCCAGGCUCUACACAAGAACGUCACUGCUGAUUUUGACAACACAUGUGUCAUCUAAGAUGUGAUGAGCAAGUGGUAAAAAAAAGCUUAAGAAGCACUGAAAUGGUGUGGUUAUUUACCAGUGUGCACUGCUUCGUAGUGGCUGUAACAGACUGACUGGGUACUGGGUCUUAAAGAACGCCUCACCCUUAGCUGAGAUUUGGUCUGUGUUUCCAGCUGCCUUGUCUUGUGAGAACUCCUUGCAAAUGCAUCAGAUAUCCCGUGACGUGGUUUUUCCCCUGCAUGGAGUAAAAGCAAGGAAGGCUCACCCUUUCUUUGCUGUACCCUCUUUUGUACUGUCUUUUAUUUCACUCUGUGUCUCUCUUCUGACUACUCUGAACAGUUCACAACUUUUCAAGUAAGAACUUCAUACAAAAGCUUUUGUAUUCGUGAGCAUUGUCUGUCUCAUAUUUUUUGUGU